GGGGAAUUUUGGACAAUGGGCGAAAGCCUGAUCCAGCCAUGCCGCGUGCAGGAUGAAGGCCUUCGGGUUGUAAACUGCUUUUGUACGGAACGAAAAGCCUUCUUCUAAUAAAGGAAGGUCAUGACGGUACCGUAAGAAUAAGCACCGGCUAACUACGUGCCAGCAGCCGCGGUAAUACGUAGGGUGCAAGCGUUAAUCGGAAUUACUGGGCGUAAAGCGUGCGCAGGCGGUGAUGUAAGACAGAGGUGAAAUCCCCGGGCUCAACCUGGGAACUGCCUUUGUGACUGCAUCGCUGGAGUACGGUAGAGGGGGAUGGAAUUCCGCGUGUAGCAGUGAAAUGCGUAGAUAUGCGGAGGAACACCGAUGGCGAAGGCAAUCCCCUGGACCUGUACUGACGCUCAUGCACGAAAGCGUGGGGAGCAAAC
rnacentral:rRNA from 1 species